CCGCCGCUUGCCGCCACAGCACAGUCCCUGUGUUUCCUUGCAGAGCCUUCCUUAAAGCCUCUGUUUUUGGCCUCAUAUAGCCUACAUUGUUCAUGAUUUUCUGAUUGAUACAAAUCUUACGAAGGUCUGUCUCCAUGGCUCAGUGUGCUGUAGCAGCUGGACCCCGAUAGAAGUCUCUCUUCCUCUCCUCCUUCAGCCCUUCUUCCAGUGGUGAUAUCACGUGACAUCACCGUGCGAUGAUAAAUGCUCCUGCUGGUUGCCAGGGAGACCCCUGACCCCCAGACCCCCUGUGGAGAUGGAGCCCCAGGGGCUGUUCGGAGCAGAGGGGGAUUGUGGGAUGUUGGGUCUGCUGGUGCCCAGUCCCCAGAGUGAGGCGUUUACCCAUGAGCUGGAGAAGCUGUCCUUACAGCCCAGUAACAACCUACACCCCCUCAAUGAAUGCAAGAACGGUGAGUGGGGAGGAAAGACACACACACAGUGAAACAGACUCAGUGGUUAUAGUCAGUCAUUAUAAGGAAUCGGCUGUCUAGCAUGCAUUGCAGGCUAACCAUUACUCACACAGCCCAGUUGUUGUUCUGGCAGCUCUAUGGGUCUGGCUAAGGCACUGAUGAAUGAACACAUGAUUACUGGGUUGAACAGGGCUUUAGAAACGGCAUUCUGUUUGCCAGGUCCUAAUGACAGCUUAGAUGGCUUAAAUGAGAAUUCCACCCAAAAACGAUCUCU